UAGGGAAUCUUCCGCAAUGGGCGAAAGCUUGACGGAGCAACGCCGCGUGAGUGAUGAAGGUCUUCGGAUCGUAAAACUCUGUUAUUAGGGAAGAACAAAUGUGUAAGUAACUAUGCACGUCUUGACGGUACCUAAUCAGAAAGCCACGGCUAACUACGUGCCAGCAGCCGCGGUAAUACGUAGGUGGCAAGCGUUAUCCGGAAUUAUUGGGCGUAAAGCGCGCGUAGGCGGUUUUAAGUCUGAUGUGAAAGCCCACGGCUCAACCGUGGAGGGUCAUUGGAAACUGGAAAACUUGAGUGCAGAAGAGGAAAGUGGAAUUCCAUGUGUAGCGGUGAAAUGCGCAGAGAUAUGGAGGAACACCAGUGGCGAAGGCGACUUUCUGGUCUGUAACUGACGCUGAUGUGCGAAAGCGUGGGGAUCAAACAGG
rnacentral:rRNA from 1 species